CAAAUAGUUGCCAAUUGACAUGAUUCUUUAUUUAUUUAUUUUUUACCCUUUUUCCAUUGUAGCUAACAAUCGGAUAGCCAUUAACUUGUGUGUUUGUCUAAAUGUAUUUCCCAUAGCAAGUAUAAUGUAAUUUUGUCCUUUUUUUUUCAAGUACUGUAAAGUGAACCCCAUAUUUUACCCUUUAAACAUAUUAUGGAUUCACUUACACAUAUGUUUUAAUUUGAACGAAAGUUCUCCUUAGACCUGAUACCAAAUAUAUAUAUAUAAUUUUUUUUUUUUUUACACUUUUGUAAGCCAUUGAAGUAUUCAUUUCAGCAUGCACCUUACAUGAGGUUAGACCGUCAUAUAUACGCUUCUCUACAUACCUGUAUAUAGUAGUAUAUAGUAUUUUCCCAUUACAUGGCCUGCAUUUCUAAAAUGAUAAUAGUAAUGAAUGCCUAACACAACCUCGCCCUGUCUAACUGGCAGGUCGAUGGACGCUUUCUGACAAAUCUAUUUGGGGCAAAUUGUCAGUGAGAAACUUCCGCCUGAGCUGGCCUGGACAAAACUGGCUGUUGGACGGACUAAAUCCUACUGCAGGAGGGUCGGGACAAUAGGCUCUGAAUGUGUUGAUGUGCUGGCAGUGGCUUGGGCCUGACAAUGGCCGGAUUAAUUGGUCCCUUGGCUGACUGAUUUGAGAUGGCUUCACUCGGGUCCUCUCCAUGGGGAGCCCCAUUGUCCUUCUCCUGAUUCCCACUUUUCACAAACUCCAAACAAAAGUCAAUUUCUUUCUCAAGGGGGUUUGGAAGAAGAGGAGAAAUAUCGAGACCUCGUGGUUCAGCUUCGCGAGAGGCCCAGAGCUCCUCCUGAGACUUAGAGGUGUUAUCAUCAGCGGGACAGGAGAGAGGUUGUCGUCCUGUAUGCGGAGAGGAUCUGAGGCACCUGUUGAGAGCGCUGUCAGGCCGAGCCGAGGAGCUCGCUCUCAUUAAUAUUAAAACAUCAGAGAUGCCAUCAUGUUGCUGCGCUGAAAUCGGUCUGAUGUUGUCCCCCCCACCGACUCGGCUCCCUGGAGACCAACUCUCCGCUUCCACAGUCAAUCACGAAGGGCGCCCCCUCUAUCCUCUCUCUGCCUGUCUCUUUUUUUCUGUCCUCUCAUUAUCAUUCUGCUUUUUUGAAAGGCCUCGUUAACAAAUUAUGACAGCUGGCUAAAGAGGCUUUGGCCGUUCACACCAUUUCAGCAAACAGUUUAGGGGCACGAUAUGACAAACUUUAUUCUGCUGUGACAUCAAGUUUCCUUUAUUUGUUUGCACACUCUAAUUUGUCUCUUCAG
rnacentral:lncRNA from 1 species